AGCCCCUCAGGGUCGCACUUGGAGAGUCUCCAGUACUCUCCCAGUCUCAACUAUGGGAGGGAGAGUCAAGCAGAGGCAUAACCAUUCCAUUCCUAGCUUGGCCAGUGGCUAGUGAGAGAAAGACAAUCUGCCACAAGU